UACGUAGGUGACUAGCGUUGUCCGGAUUUACUGGGCGUAAAGAGCGCGCAGGCGGUCGUUCAAGUCGAGUGUGAAAGCCCCCGGCUCAACUGGGGAGGGUCAUUCGAUACUGAUCGACUCGAAGGCAGGAGAGGGAAGCGGAAUUCCCGGUGUAGUGGUGAAAUGCGUAGAUAUCGUCUGGAACGCCAAAGGUGAAAACAGCUCGCUGGGGUUGUGCUGACGCUGAGACACGAAAGCCAGGGGAGCGAACGGG
rnacentral:rRNA from 1 species